UCUGGAAAAAAAAUGUUUAUUUAAUGAAUCAACUGUAGUACCCUAUCUGACAGCAAAAAGCACCGUGAGGAUUUCCAAGGAGCUCAUUUCCCAUGGGGUAAUUUGCCUUGAUCUGGGGAUGCUGAGUUCUUCCCCAGUUCUUUCAGUAAGACUACAGAAGCCAACUGUAGGGCUGCAGUUAUUUAGCAGACGCAGGAAAUUUUGAAAAAAUAACUUUGUAAUAAAGUAUUUAAGAGCUUAUAGUUUUUAAAAUUAAGUACCAUUUAUUAAAUGCCUAGCAUGUCACAAGCAUUGAACAUACUUUAUCUACAUUCAGUCUUUAAACAGCUGGGCGGUUAUACUUUACAGAUGAGGAUGCUGGUGUCCCAUAGCUAACAUGUGAUUGAACCUGACUCAGAGCCACGUCGAGAUCUCUCUCCCAUGGUUCCUCUGGCCACAGUGUUACAUAGAUAACACAUAUAGUUACACAUACUACAAGGUGGAGAAGUAGAACCAGUUGGGUAAUAGGGAUUUCAAAGAGAAGCUCAGGUACAGCUAAGAGGAAGUUAAGGACAGAUCCAUGGAGAGCAGGGGUGUUUCAAUCCCAAUCUGAAAUACGGGCAGGAUUUCUAUAGGCAAGAAGCCUCAGUCACUGAUCCAUCACCCAGUCUCCCCUCAUGUGCCCUUGAUACAUAUCUCCCUGGCCAUGCUGAGGCUCUUGCUACCAGGAAAACUUCUCACUGUACUGUGCCUCUAGGUUUCUCACUCAAAGCACAGUACUCUUGCAACUGCCUUGUUUACCUAUGUGGUCAAUACUGUCUCAUGUUCUCAGGACUAUAAAAUCCCUAUGCUGGUAAGGAGCUCUGUGUGUAACAGAGCACUUAACCACCUAAGAGCCACAUUUUUCUGUACCAACAAUGGUGAAGGUCCUCUGAGGACCAGGUCUCUAUAUGAGACAUUUCCCUCAGAAAAAGCUUCAGAGCUGAAAAAGCACAGAGAUAUGUUAACAAGUUUUGCAACAUGGGCAGAAGUGAAUAAGGUGAGGGAACCAUGUUUUUUUCCCAGACACUGAUACUCAAGUUUGAUGAGGGUUAGCCCCAUGAGUGACGAGCUUGGUGUCAAUCUGGAAAGCAGCUGGUAUAAAGGCCUGAACUCUUCCAGUGAUGUAGUCAUGUGCAGAGUGAGGGCUCUCUGAGGAAGACACAGGACCCCUCGUCCUAAAGCCCCCUCUGCUGUCUAUAUUCCCACCAGCAUUCCUGGAAUGAGCAUGACUGUCCAGUCCUUGCUAGGGAAGUGGUAAGGGCUGGGGAAAGGCCACUAACAGAGAAGCCCAGCUUAACUUACUGGGGAUGCAAUCAACAUACUUCCUGUCCUUGUGAAGCAGGAGUGGUGCUGUCACACUGGAAAAGUCACACACUCAUGUUCUGAUGACUUCUGAACUUCCAAGAGGCUCCACUGAGGUGGAAAUUGGCCCUCCUGCUACACACAGGACUCCAGUAGUAGAUACGUGGGAAAGCAACACAUUCACCCUUGCAGGGUGAAUAUCGGGCCUAAAGGCAGCCAAAACCUGCUUCCUGUGUCUCGCUGGCUAGAAUCUCAUGAGGCAGAGUGAAUGAUUAGCACUUUUCACCCCCAAUAUUGGUUAGCUAAUAUUUUAUUGAUCACCUGCUAUGUGCCAUAUGAACUAUGUCUAACUAGUACUGUUAUCCCAUUUUACAGAUAAGGAGACAAACUUGAAUAACCUCUCCUGGGUCACGUAACUGUGAGAUAGCAUGACUUGAUUUAGGCCAUUUCCAGAGCCCAUUCUACUGUUUCAUACCUGCCUCCCUUCUCUUAAUGCCAGUAUCUACUCAGAGGAUGACUUCUGUCCAGUAUUGAUGAGGUCCUUUGUGUAGCAUGCAGCCUGCACAGCUCUUCCUGGUGGCCUGUGUAGUAUAAAGUAGUAGAGCCUGUGGCUUUAGUUUACAUGGAGAAAGAUGCUGAAAUGUCUAAAUCAGGAUAAACUCCAUCUUCCUAUUACAUGAUCAACUUGCACAGUAUACUGGAAAGUACCUGAAUAUGAAAUCAUGAAUGUGAAUGGUUAUUGAAAUGUCACAGUAGUUUCUCUUCAUGGAUGGUGAUUUUUACAUCUCAUAUCUGUGCAGGGACUUCUGAGACAGCCCAACCACUUCUUCUGGGUCCCCAGCUGGCUGAGCUGUUCACUUCAUUGUGGUAGCUGAUGGAGUUCAAAGCCACUCCCAUUAGAGCAGCAAGGAGACCAAGCCCUACCUCCAGCAAGGCACAUCACUGCUACCUUAGUGGGAACGACUCCUGUGCCCAAGGAAACAGUCGCAGCUGGAACUGGUCACCUUGUCCCUGAAACCUUUGGAGGACAGAGAGGACAGACAUUCAGCCAGCAGAGGACAGCAGAGACCACAGAGGAAAAGAUGUGAUGGUCGCUGUUCCCUAAGACUAUAAACUGCAGUGACUAGCCGGGAACCAAGUGGCAUCAGGAUCUUUGUGCACUUGAAGAAAUAGACCCACCCAGGAGCUAUACACUGUGUCCCCAGCCCCAAAUUUGUAUGGAGGUUCUGACUGCCCAUGUGAUGAUAUGAUGGGUGACAGUCAUAAGGGCAGAGGCCCACAAAAGGAUGAGUGCCCGCGUACAAAGGUGAAGGGACCAGAGUUCACUCCCUGCCUCACAGGAAGGCAGCCAUCUGUGACCCAGGUGCAGUGCCCUUACCAGCCCAGCCACACAGCUGCUCCCUAAUCUUGGCCUCUUGGCAUCCAGAACUGUGAGAAAUAAAUGCCGCCAUGUAA